UUGAUUUUGGUCGCCAACGAGUGGCGGACGGGUGAGUAACACGUAGGUAACCUGCCCAGAAGCGGGGGACAACAUUUGGAAACAGAUGCUAAUACCGCAUAACAACGUUGUUCGCAUGAACAACGCUUAAAAGAUGGCUUCUCGCUAUCACUUCUGGAUGGACCUGCGGUGCAUUAGCUUGUUGGUGGGGUAAUGGCCUACCAAGGCGAUGAUGCAUAGCCGAGUUGAGAGACUGAUCGGCCACAAUGGGACUGAGACACGGCCCAUACUCCUACGGGAGGCAGCAGUAGGGAAUCUUCCACAAUGGGCGCAAGCCUGAUGGAGCAACACCGCGUGAGUGAAGAAGGGUUUCGGCUCGUAAAGCUCUGUUGUUAAAGAAGAACACGUAUGAGAGUAACUGUUCAUACGUUGACGGUAUUUAACCAGAAAGUCACGGCUAACUACGUGCCAGCAGCCGCGGUAAUACGUAGGUGGCAAGCGUUAUCCGGAUUUAUUGGGCGUAAAGAGAGUGCAGGCGGUUUUCUAAGUCUGAUGUGAAAGCCUUCGGCUUAACCGGAGAAGUGCAUCGGAAACUGGAUAACUUGAGUGCAGAAGAGGGUAGUGGAACUCCAUGUGUAGCGGUGGAAUGCGUAGAUAUAUGGAAGAACACCAGUGGCGAAGGCGGCUACCUGGUCUGCAACUGACGCUGAGACUCGAAAGCAUGGGUAGCGAACAGGAUUAGAUACCCUGGUAGUCCAUGCCGUAAACGAUGAGUGCUAGGUGUUGGAGGGUUUCCGCCCUUCAGUGCCGGAGCUAACGCAUUAAGCACUCCGCCUGGGGAGUACGACCGCAAGGUUGAAACUCAAAGGAAUUGACGGGGGCCCGCACAAGCGGUGGAGCAUGUGGUUUAAUUCGAAGCUACGCGAAGAACCUUACCAGGUCUUGACAUCUUGCGCCAACCCUAGAGAUAGGGCGUUUCCUUCGGGAACGCAAUGACAGGUGGUGCAUGGUCGUCGUCAGCUCGUGUCGUGAGAUGUUGGGUUAAGUCCCGCAACGAGCGCAACCCUUGUUACUAGUUGCCAGCAUUAAGUUGGGCACUCUAGUGA
rnacentral:rRNA from 2 species